AUGCUUCAACUUAUAUUUGCUGUGGCUUUUUCUGCUGUUCCUCUCACCUUAUACAUUCCACCAAUACGCAGCUUCAAUCUCUUUGUUCAUACCAUCCAACUCUUCCUAAGAGACUCCUCUCUCUUCUCCGAUCGGACUUUUCCUCGUAUCAGACUCGCGCUAUCUCGUAUCUUCAAUUCCAUUUUUCAUAUAUCAUGGUAG